rnacentral:rRNA from 1 species
GUCCACGCCCUAAACGAUGCUCACUAGGUGUUGGGGAAGCGAUUCCUUGGUACCGUAGCUAACGCGUGAAGUGAGCCGCCUGGGGAGUACGGCCGCAAGGUUAAAACUCAAAGGAAUUGACGGGGACCCGCACAAGCGGUGGAUGAUGUGGAUUAAUUCGAUGCAACGCGAACAACCUUACCUACCCUUGACAUGUCCGGAAGCCUGCUGAAAGGCGGGUGUGCCUGAAAGGGAACCGGAACACAGGUGCUGCAUGGCUGUCGU